UGAGCAGGAGUUAAUAAAUGAUUGACAAAAACAACAUUAUGUGUUUGAUUAAAAACAGAUUACUAAAAUUACGUUUAAGCAUGAAGUUUGUUUUAACAGAGGACUGAUUUCAACUCAUUUUAAUUCUUUAAGGAGGAGUUUAUGCAAAUCUGACAUUUCCAGUUUCUUCUUAUAUGAAUCAAAGUUCAGUGAUUCAAUCUGACAAAGAAGCUGCAGACAGAACAAAGACAAAUGACUCCAACAAUGAUCAGACCUGUUUGUUUGCUGCUUUUUCUCUUUUUCUUUGGUGUCUUACCUGGUAUCAGGGGUCAAACACUGACUGAGUCUGAAUCAGUGGUUAAAAGACCUGGAGAAUCCCACAAACUGACUUGUACAUAUUCAGGGUUUAGUAGUGAUCCUUAUAUAGCUUGGAUCAGACAGGCUGCAGGAAAAGGACUGGAGUGGAUCGCUUGGAUCAACCCUGGCAGCAGCAACAUCUACUACUCAGAGUCAGUGAAAAACCGCUUCACCAUCUCCAGAGACAACAGCAGAAAGCAGGUGUAUCUGCAGAUGAACAGUCUGAGAGCUGAGGAUUCUGCUGUUUAUUACUGCGCUCGAGAGUCACAGUGACUCAAGAGACACAAACUCUGUACAAAAACAACACAUGAAGAUAAUGGCUGUCAUCGGGUUUUUAAAAAUAUGAUUUUAUAGUAGACUGGAUGCAAAAUAUGUGGAAAUUGAUAUUUGCAAAAAAGAGCUUUUAAAGGUGCAAAAUAAUAACAGCUUCAGGGAGAGUUAGGAGGUUUGUUUCUUUUUUUUGUCAAUAUUUAUUGUGACUGAUGUUCACUUCUAGUGGAUUAGUUCUUUUUUUUACUUUAGUUUAGAGCCAUACCUGUUCUAAUCUAGAAUUGACUUUUAUAACUUUCAUUGCCUAAUUUCCCAGCCUGGGAUGAAUAAAGUAUUGCUAUUCUAUUCUAU